rnacentral:rRNA from 1 species
CUCAGGAUGAACGCUAGCGGCAGGCUUAACACAUGCAAGUCGAGGGGUAUAGUUCUUCGGAACUAGAGACCGGCGCACGGGUGCGUAACGCGUAUGCAAUCUACCUUUCACAGAGGGAUAGCCCAGAGAAAUUUGGAUUAAUACCUCAUAGCAUAGUAGUCUCGCAUGAGACCACUAUUAAAGAUUUAUCGGUGAAAGAUGAGCAUGCGUCCCAUUAGUUAGUUGGUAAGGUAACGGCUUACCAAGACUACGAUGGGUAGGGGUCCUGAGAGGGAGAUCCCCCACACUGGUACUGAGACACGGACCAGACUCCUACGGGAGGCAGCAGUGAGGAAUAUUGGACAAUGGGCGCAAGCCUGAUCCAGCCAUGCCGCGUGCAGGAUGACGGUCCUAUGGAUUGUAAACUGCUUUUAUACAGGAAGAAACACCUCUACGUGUAGAGACUUGACGGUACUGUAAGAAUAAGGAUCGGCUAACUCCGUGCCAGCAGCCGCGGUAAUACGGAGGAUCCAAGCGUUAUCCGGAAUCAUUGGGUUUAAAGGGUCCGUAGGCGGUUUAGUAAGUCAGUGGUGAAAGCCCAUCGCUCAACGGUGGAACGGCCAUUGAUACUGCUAGACUUGAAUUAUUAGGAAGUAACUAGAAUAUGUAGUGUAGCGGUGAAAUGCUUAGAGAUUACAUGGAAUACCAAUUGCGAAGGCAGGUUACUACUAAUUGAUUGACGCUGAUGGACGAAAGCGUGGGUAGCGAACAGGAUUAGAUACCCUGGUAGUCCACGCCGUAAACGAUGGAUACUAGCUGUUGGGCGCAAGUUCAGUGGCUAAGCGAAAGUGAUA